CCUUAUCCACCACCACCGGCCAAUUGUCAUCGAGCUCUAGUCACUUCAGGACACUUGGGCCUACAUCUAUCUACCCUCCCCUGUUAACCACUAUCUUCUGCAACUCAUCAAACAUAUUUUAUUUAUUUUUAUACCAAACAAGUUUUGUUACGUUUUUUUUGCAAACAGAAAACUUGAAAAUGACAAUUCUACCAAACGGGACCUAGCUUAUGCGCGUUUAGAAUUUUUGUUGUGCAUUAUCUAUAACUAUCUAUAAAAGCACGAAAAUCUGUGUCUAACACCAGUGUGUCUAACCCAGUUGAAAUGGCCAAUUCACCCUCCUUGAAACAGAAAAGCCAUGCAAGAUACAACCUGUAUCAACACAGAACAGAGGCCAUGUAGCAUUUUAGCUAGCAUACCCAACUCACCAGGCACCACUAGCAGCAACCAUCUUAUCUCAUUCCACCACCUAUGCAAAUCCUACACUAUCUAG